UGGAGAGUUUGAUCCUGGCUCAGGACGAACGCUGGCGGCGUGCUUAACACAUGCAAGUCGAACGGAAAGGCCCUUCGGGGUACUCGAGUGGCGAACGGGUGAGUAACACGUGGGUGAUCUGCCCUGCACUUCGGGAUAAGCCUGGGAAACUGGGUCUAAUACCGGAUAUGACCUUGGGAUGCAUGUCCUUUGGUGGAAAGCUUUUGCGGUGUGGGAUGGGCCCGCGGCCUAUCAGCUUGUUGGUGGGGUUAAGGCCUACCAAGGCGACGACGGGUAGCCGGCCUGAGAGGGUGACCGGCCACACUGGGACUGAGAUACGGCCCAGACUCCUACGGGAGGCAGCAGUGGGGAAUAUUGCACAAUGGGCGCAAGCCUGAUGCAGCGACGCCGCGUGAGGGACGACGGCCUUCGGGUUGUAAACCUCUUUCAGCACAGACGAAGCGCGAGUGACGGUAUGUGCAGAAGAAGGACCGGCCAACUACGUGCCAGCAGCCGCGGUA
rnacentral:rRNA from 1 species